rnacentral:misc_RNA from 1 species
AUGCCAUUUUUUGGGCUUAUUUCCUUUCUAUUUUUCUUUCUUUUGGGUGAAAUAUUGUUGUCGAAUUUAAUAACCUUGGAAAAUAAUUUCUAAGCAUGGAGAGGUUACCAAUCAAUUCAUAAUGCUUAAAUGAAUUAAUUAUGUUGACAUUUUCAUAAGCACUCCUCUUGAUUUGCCAUUAAUCUGUGGCUGACAUUCAAUCAUAAGUUUGUUCAACUUCUUGUUGCUA